AGCUUCAGUAGCGUAUAUUAAAGUUGUUGCAGUUAAAAAGCUCGUAGUCGCAUUUCUGGCGAGAGGAUCCGGUCCGACCUUUUGGUGGGUUCUUGGGUCUCUUUCGCCAUCCUUGAGUGGUCCGUUCUGGCAUUAGGUUGUCGGAGCGUCAGCCGCUCAUCGUUUACUGUGAGAAAAUUAGAGUGUUCAAAGCAGGCUUAUGCCGUUGAAUAUAUUAGCAUGGAAUAAUAAGAUAGGACCUCGGUACUAUUUUGUUUGUUUGCGCACCAAGGUAAUGAUGAACAGGGACAGUUGGGGGUAUUUGUAUUUCGUUGUCAGAGGUGAAAUUCUUAGAUUUUCGAAAGACAAACUACUGCGAAAGCAUUUACCAAGGAUGUUUUCA
rnacentral:rRNA from 1 species